rnacentral:rRNA from 1 species
AUUGAACGCUGGCGGCAUGCCUAACACAUGCAAGUCGAACGGCAGCACAGUAAAGAUUUCGGUCUUUAUGGGUGGCGAGUGGCGGACGGGUGAGUAAUGCGUAGGAAUCUGUCCUGGAGAGUGGGAUAACCCGAGGAAACUCGGGCUAAUACUGCAUGAUAUCGAGAGAUCAAAGGCAGGGGACCCUUCGGGGCCUUGCGCUCUAGGAUGAGCCUACGUCGGAUUAGCUAGUUGGAGGGGUAAAGGCCUACCAAGGCGACGAUCCGUAGCUGGUCUGAGAGGAUGACCAGCCACACUGGGCAUGAGACACGGCCCAGACUCCUACGGGAGGCAGCAGUGGGGAAUCUUGGACAAGAGGGGAAACCCUGAUCCAGCGAUGCCGGGUGUGUGAAGAAGGGCUUCGGGUUGUAAAGCACUUUAGUUGGGGAAGAAAAGUAAUGAGUGAAUAACUGAUUGCUCUGACGGUACCCAAAGAAUAAGCACCGGCUAACUCUGUGCCAGCCGCCGCAGUAA